UGGGGUGUGGCUCAGUGGUAGAGCACUUGCCUACCAUGUAUGAGGCCCUGGGUUCGAUGCUCAGUGCCACAU
rnacentral:tRNA from 1 species